AACACUGGCUUUCAGCCUUUAUUUUCAUUAUGUCUCUAUAUUUCUUUACUCUCAAAUGAAAAGUCUUUAUUUCAGUGCUCUUCCAUUUUACUGAUAUAAUUCUAAUUUCACUGUUAUAAAUGGUAUGUGGGCUGAAGAUAGGGCUUCAGUAUUUUCUGACUCCCUUCUCUGUGAUUUGUUUUGUGACUUGUCCUUUGGAGGGUGAAGAAGUGAGACCCUACAUGGCUUUUUAGUGCAUUGAUGGAGCAGAGACACGUCUAUGAACAACUGCCUAUGCAAACUGAUUACUCGGCAGUAUAAUUUAUCAGUUUGUAUGAGUAAGUGAGUGCUUCUCACUAUGGAUUUAGCUUGCACUUCAAUUUAGUUCCAUUAUCUUGCUUUGGAUUUAUGGAAAUUCUGAACAGUGAUGUGAGAGUGACUACAGUUUGAAGUAUCUGUUAAAUACAGCAACAUGACAUCACAAGGAUUGUUUUGGAGUCUUCUGGAUAUGAGAACAUUAUAAAAGGUGUGGGGGUUUCCAGGAGACUUGAGAAUGACUCCAGGACUCAUAGUUCUCCUGGAACAUCGUUUUCCACUGUAGCCUUAGAAGAGGAAAGCCCAUCUAUGGAUACUUAUGUUUAUGAGAAUAGAGACUUGACUGUUUAGUGUCAGAGGAAUAGAGAGUUUGGCAAGCAGAACAAUCUAUCAGUGACUGCCUUCGGAAAAAAUGGGCCAUUUUUAGUAAAAUUUUUCAUGAUUACAUGAUUUAAAGUAAAAUAAAUUAGACUUUUGAUUUCAACUCUGUGUUAGUCAGAGUUCUCCAGAUAAACGGAACCAAUAAGAAAUAUAUACAGGAAAUGGCUCACACAUUAUGGUGGCUAAGAAGUCCUAUGAUGUGCUGUCUUCAAACUGGAGAACCAUAAAUGUCAAUGGUGUAAUUCAGUCUAAAUCUGAAGGCCUAAGAACCAAGAGAAAUGAUGGUGUAAUUCCUGGUCUGAAUCCAAAGGCCUGCCAACCAGGAGCUCUGAUGUCUAAAAGCAGGAGAUGUCCCAGUUCAAGCAGAAGGAAUAAAUUCAUCCUUUAUCGU
rnacentral:antisense_RNA from 1 species